CAGCUUCUAAUCACCACCACUGCAGAUUCAGGCGAACUGCACGAGAAUCUGGCGAGUAGCGUCAGACGACUAGCAGGUGACGUUGCAAGGAGCCGUUGGGCGUGCUUUCCCUCUGAGCAUCGCUCGACCAUCGCUGAAUGGGUGGAGUUCCAAUACGACAGCAGAAAGAGCGAGGGAGCAGACAACGUCGAGAGUAAGGCACGCCACCGGCGAGCAGACUUUGCAACGGGCGAACGGCGGAUGGUGGUGUGGGUUCCCGACAACCAGUGUGGAUGACCGGCGAGCUGCAGUUUUAGGCGGCAUAUUCACUUCCCCUGACGAGCGAAGUUCCAACGCAGGCGUGGUGGCUGAUGGCAGCGCGUGGACAGCAGCAGGGCGACCACCAAGCAGCAUUGAGGAUUUUCGAUGAAGGCAUGGGCGAUCGGCGAUCGGCGACCUGCAGACGAGCAAUUGGGCGUGCAACAGCAGGGCAACCACCAGGUGGCGUUGAGAAUUUUUGAUGAAGGCAUGGGUGACCGGCGAUCAGGCUUUGCAGGCGAGCUACAGCAGCCGGCGACCUACAGGUGGUGGUGCAAAUUUCCAACGAAGGCAACAAUCAUUCGGUCAGGUGACGUCUUCCACUCUUCAAUGGGCUUCCACUCUUCAAUGGGCAGCAGCACGCAAGCAAGUUUCGCCCCUUCUAAUUAAACCCCCAUUGACGAAGAAAUGAGCAGCUUUCGAUCAUCUUAAAAACUUACCCCUGCUCUGAAGCAGAGUAUCCCGACAGCUUUGUUCCACCAACGUCCAAACGCCACCAAAGUGCUCAGGUCAGUUCCUCAUUUUCUUGUGGUUCGGACGAACCUAAGCGCGACUGGUGUCGUGACUUCUACUGGCCAGAAUCGUCAGAUCUCCUGCCGCCAGUAUGCUUCCUGCGGAACCCUUCCCUUGUUCGCACGAGGCAGAGAGUUCCUCCUCUAGCGGCUGAUCAUCUGGCUGGCGUUGUAACCUUCGGCAACCAAUUGUUGUGAUAUUUUGUACAAACUACACCGCCGGUGUGUUACGGUUCCAUCGGACUGGAGCUCGAUCGGAAAAGUAGCUGGAGUUGGUCGAAAUAGCAAGUUUUUCGGCCGCCUGUUUCUGCGACUGCGUCCCUGCUACAACAGGAUAUAGCUUUGCUCAACGGGCCAUAUCUUCUGAUCCUAUUGUUAGGUAUUUACAAAGUGGGUUCUCAGUCUUCCUAACUCCCUCAUUGUUCUAAUGAGCCAUAGCACGUGAAGAUCCGAGCAAGGAUUGCAAAAAUCUGUAGAUAUGCAAUGGAGACCCUGUCUUUCAGCAGGUUCAGUCUGUGGGUUCUGCGACAGCUGCAAAAACAGUCCCUGUUCCGUGGCCAUUGCCAUCCAUACCCACCUUGGUUUCACUCUCUCGUUGGUUCCACAACGUGCCUCACUUCUCCACGUUUCCAACAAGCUAUAGCACAUCUAAAUCUGAGCUGUAAGCUGGGAGAAACAAGCUUGUGAACAGAACCUGUCUACCGGUGAUCUCAAACUGUGACGCCUGAGAUAGCCGAGGAUACAUCUUGUUCCAUAGUCAAUGCUGUACAACACAGUGUCUGUUUCAAGCAAUUGACUGCCGUGCAUGAGAGCAGACGUCUUCACGAUUCCAACGAGCCUAAGUGCAUCCAAAUACGAGCUCUGUGGAGGGAGCUCCAGCCCCUGGAAGUUGCUAUUGCGUCCCCUGUUGUGGAGUUGCCUAUUCCACUGCUUUCCUCUCACUAUCUCUCUUGCGACUGCGAGGCUGCGAUCCUCCCUUCCACCGGUGGCAGCUUCCUCUACGUCGGCUGCGAUCGUCUCUUCCGGCGUCAUCACAUUCUUCCUCAACCCUCUUUCCUCGAUUAGCGUGCAAGAGCUGGCCAAACACUAGAUAAACCAUAAAAGUCAAAGGAUGGCAAACAGAACAAAAGGAAAAGAAGUUGUUUCAUAUUCUCCUACAAUAGGUUCUUCAUCUAGUCUGAAUGUGGAUGAAGGUGAUGUUUCAAAGUCUUCUACAAAACUUGGUGAAGCAUAUGCAUCUGAAGAACAACCACUGUGGAAAAAAAUAAAAGCGGUCACUAAAGAUGUAGGCAUGGACGGUGGAAAUGUGCAUUUUGUAUGCAAAUAUUGUGAAGGUAUAUUUGUAGGAUCUUACACAAGAAUUAAGGCACAUAUGUUGAUCAUGGAAUUCGAUGAUGUAAAAAAAUUUCUACAGAAAAAGCUUGAGAGUUCAAGAGGUUGCAAGAUCGUGUUGAUGCAAUCCAUAACAAGAAGAAAACAAGUAUUAUUGUGACAAAUCCUAAGAGUUCUGAUAGAAAAAGAAAGACUAUAGAGACAUGUUUUGAUUCUUGCGGAAGAGCAGAAAUAGAUAAGGUGAUUGCUAUGUUUUUCUAUUAUAGUUGCAUUCCUUUCAAUGUAGCUAGAAAUCCAUAUUGGAAGAAGACUUGUACUAUGCUUGCAACUAGCAAAUUAUCAGGAUAUAUACCUCCCAGUUCAUAAAGGUUGCGCACGCCACUUCUUCAUAAUGAAAAAAAUGAGGCUGAGCAAAGUUUAGAAAGAAAAAAGUUUAAAUGGAACACGACUGGGGUAUCAAUUGUUUCUGAUGGGUGGACAGAUAUUCAAAGACGUCCACUAAUUAAUUUCGUUGUCAUUGCAUGUGAUGAACCAAUAUUUUUGAAGGCAGUUAAUGCACCUGGAGAAUAUAAAGUUGUCAGAUAUUUGAAGCAAUUAUUUGUAGAAGCCAUCAAAGAGGUUGGUCUUGAUAAAGUGGUGCAGAUCAUUACAGACAAUGUUGUUGUAUGCAAAAGUGUUGGACUUAGUUUGAGGUAUGAUUUUUCACAUAUUUAUUGGACUUCAUGUGUUGCACAUACUUUGAAUUUAGCAUUGAAGGACAUAUGCAAUACUAGAAGUCAAGAUACAGAUCCUAAGGGAUAUGAGCUAUCCUCAUGGAUUCAAAAGAUUGAAAAAGAUGCAAGAAAUAUUAGAAAUUUCAUCGUUAGUCACCAACACGCAUUGUCUAUUUUUAGUAGUUAUUUUGAUUUAAGAUUAUUAAAUGUUGUAGAGACACGUUUUUGCUUUAAUAAUUGUCAUGUUAAAAAGAAUUCAAAGAGUGCAAGAUGCACUUAUUCAAAUGGUGUUUAGUAGAGAGUGGAGCUUUUAUCGGGUUGAAGAUGAGGCUAAAGCUCAAAGUAUUUAAAACCUUACUGUUGAAGAUAAAUGGUGGGAUAAAAUUGCAUAUUUUUUGAAUUUUACAGAGUCAAUUUGGUACAUGUUGAGAGCUGUUGGUAAAUGUGAGUCUAUGCUUCAUAAAGUUUACGCAAUGUGGGAGGAUAUGAUUGAACAAAUUCAGUGUAUAGUUUUUAAGAAAGAAAGAAAAUACAUUGUAAUUGAUAAUUCAGAGUUCUUUGAUCGCAUAAGUACAAUAUUAGUUGAAAGAUGGGAUAAAAGCAAUACUUCCUUGCAUUGCAUGGCUCAUUCUUUAAAUCCCAAAUAUUACACUAAAAAAUGGAUUGAAGGAGCUCCUGGACAUGUUACUCCAAAUCUAGAUAAUGAGUUAAACAUUCAAAGAAUGUCAUGUAUGGACGGACUUUUUUCAGAUUCUUAUAUCAGAAGACAAGCUAUUUGUGAAUAUAACAAGUUUUCUUUAAGAGAUUUUAGUUUAGAAGGCACAACAACAGCAAGAGAAGAUGAUGAAAUGACAUGAGUCCUUUUGAUUGGUGGGCAUCUUAUGGAUCAGAAAUGCUUGUGCUUCAUAAACUUGCUUUGAUGUUACUAUCACAACCUGUUACAUCUUCGUGUUGUGAAAGAAAUUUGAGCAUAUACGGUCAUGUACACAACAUUAAAAGGAACAAGCUCACUAGCCAACGUGCAGAGGACUUGGUUUAUGUGCAUUCUAAUUUGCAUCUAAUUUCAAGAAAAGAAAAAAAAUACAGUUGUGGAUCAUCUUAAUAUUGGGAUGUAAAUCCAGAUGAAUUUGAUUUUGAUGGAGAGUGCAAUUUAUAUACUGCAAACAUGGAUUUUUCUGAUCAUGUUAUUCCUUUUGAGGCAUAUGAUGAUGAUGAUAUCAUUGAAAGCAUUGAAGAAAAUCAAGAUAUUGGUGGAAGUGGAAGUGGAACGCAACUCUGAUUGAUGUCAUGAUGUAAUAUGUAUUGAUGUAUAAACUUUGAAGUAUGACUGUAUGAAGUUAGCUAUUGGAAUCGGCAUUUUCA